rnacentral:lncRNA from 1 species
AGCAGCAGCUCCAGCCAUGUCACCACUGAAGCUGCUGCUGAAAGCUGGGAAGCUGAUGUGAUAAGAAUGGGAUUGCUGAUCAGUAGUACUGCAGGUCUUGCAUGGUGACAGGCAGCUGGGGACCUGAACAAGUUGUCUAUGCUGUUUUAGGUGCUCUGUGGUACCUGAGACAUAGCACAGAUCAUACAUGUGAGAGAACAAACCAUGCUACUCUGAAAGAGCUGGAUACCAGGUAGGAUACUUGGGUACUCUAUUGCCACUUCAGACACUGAUAUUCAAAUACUUCAACGCCAGGCAUCUUCUUUUCUCUUUCUAGCAUGUAAUUGUUUUGAUUGAUCUUUCUUUUUUGGUGAUAUUUGCUGUUUUGUAUUUUCCCUAGAGCAGGCUCCUUGAAUCUCAAGACAUUUGCUCAUCCUUAU